AUAAACCUACGGGGCGCAGCAGUGAGGAAUAUUGGUCAAUGGGCGGAAGCCUGAACCAGCCAAGUCGCGUGAGGGACUAAGGCCCUGCGGGUCGUAAACCUCUUUUGCCGGGGAGCAGUGGUCCGGACGCGUCCGGACCGGGAGAGUACCCGGAGAAAAAGCAUCGGCUAACUCCGUGCCAGCAGCCGCGGUAAUACGGAGGAUGCGAGCGUUAUCCGGAUUUAUUGGGUUUAAAGGGUGCGUAGGCGGGCAUUUAAGCCGGCGGUCAAAUGUCGGGGCUCAACCUCGCUCCGCCGUUGAAACUG
rnacentral:rRNA from 1 species